UUAAAGUUGCAGACAUUUGGCGUAUACAAAUGCAUCCGUGCAUUUUCCUAGAUAUGUCCAUGACAUGUCCCGUAUAAAGCAUGAUAUUUUAUAGGAUAGAACAAAAAAUAUAAACAUUACAAAUAAAUUUUAAACAAAAUUUUUACCACAAAAUUCCUCCUAUAACAUUGAACAAUCUACAUGCAAAAUGAAACAACAGUACAAUCCUUCAGAGGACUGAUGUCCUGUCAUGUGUUCUCUCAAGCAUCGCGAUUUUCGACGAUCAUUCCAAACACCAGGACUCAUCUGGCCUUGAUAUACUACGAUCCGUAAAAGUUUCAUGCGCCAUUGGGCGAGAAGAACGUAGCACGGCGAAAAACGAUGGCGCGUAUUUGUUCCCAGGAUGGCAUAGCGAGAGACGUGAAUUAUUUUGCUGAGUGCCUUACAUCGUGCACAUGUACCGAUCUCAACAAGUAGCAGGAUUUCUUUCUUCGCCGCAGCUCACAAGCGGAGAACGGAACUUCGUCGGAGAACGAUGGGAUGAAACGAGACCGCAUCGUAGCCAUAACAAUACGUACACUUCGAUCGGCAAGCGUCAUAAAGCGCACAAUGGGACGGUUGAUUGGCUACUCGAACGAAAACUCGCGCUUGGAAAAACAUCGUUGGGAAAAUGAUAAGACUAUACCGCGUAAUGUUGUCGUGAGUGUCGAGGCGAAAAGAUUUGCAUUAGAGAUACUGUUAUCGCGAAGCAACAAUGACGCGACCAAUCGCUAGAGGAAAAAAAAAGAGAAAUACGUUCUGCGUUUUCACUUUAAAUCUUAACUAGUAUCUUAACUAGAUCUCUAUUUCUACUUUUUAAGAUAUUUACAUAUUUCUACGUAUCUUAAUAAUACAUCUGAUUAUUAAU